rnacentral:rRNA from 1 species
UUGGGAAUCUUGCGCAAUGGGCGAAAGCCUGACGCAGCGACGCCGCGUGCGGGAAGAAGGCCUUCGGGUUGUAAACCGCUUUCAGGGGGGACGAAGCCACUCGGGUGAAUAGCCCAGAGGGUGACGGUACCUUCAGAAGAAGCCCCGGCUAACUACGUGCCAGCAGCCGCGGUAAUACGUAGGGGGCAAGCGUUGUCCGGAUUUAUUGGGCGUAAAGAGCGUGUAGGCGGCCAGGUAGGUCGGUUGUGAAAACUGGAGGCUCAACCUUCAGACGUCGACCGAAACCCCUUGGCUAGAGUCCGGAAGAGGAGAAUGGAAUUCCUGGUGUAGCGGUGAAAUGCGCAGAUAUCAGGAAGAACACCCGUGGCGAAAGCGGUUCUCUGGGACGGUACUGACGCUGAGACGCGAAAGCGUGGGGAGCGAACAGGAUUAGAUACCCCAGUAGUCCCUGAGCGGGCUGGCAAGGCGCAU